ACUACGGGGGGCUGCAGUAGGGAAUAUUGCUCAAUGGGGGAAACCCUGAAGCAGCAACGCCGCGUGGAGGAUGAAGGUUUUCGGAGUGUAAACUCCUUUUGUUAGAGAAGAGAAUGACGGUAUCUAACGAAUAAGCACCGGCUAACGCCGUGCCAGCAGCCGCGGUAAUCCGGAGGGUGCAAGCUUUCCUCGGAAUCACUGGGCGUAAAGAGCGCGUAGGCGGGAUAGCAAGUCAGAUGUGAAAUCCUAUGGCUUAACCCUAGAACUGCAUUUGAAACUGUUAUUCUAGAGUAUGGGAGAGGUAGGUGGCAUUCUUGGUGUAGGGGUCAAAUCCGUAGAGAUCACGAGGCAUACUCAUUGCGAAGGCGACCUGCUAGACCAUACCUGACGCUGAUGCGCGAAAGCGUGGGGAGCAAACAGGAUUAGCUACCCCAGUAGUC
rnacentral:rRNA from 1 species